AUGCCGCCCCCCAAUCGCACCGCGCAGGAUUACAUGACGCUCGUGCCGCCUUUGUUCACGCUCGCCGGCACCCGGCCCGGGCCGAUCCACGCGUUCGGUUUCGGCGCCGACAACGACGCCCUGGCCAUGCACACCAUCGCGGAGGCGACGGGCGGCACCUUCUCCUUCAUCGAGAACCAGGCGGCGAUCCAGGACUCGUUCGCGCAGUGCAUCGGCGGGCUCCUCUCGGUCGCCGUGCAGGAGGCGCGCAUCGCCGUGACGUGCCUGCACCGGGGCGUGCGCGUCCAGGAGAUCAAGUCCGGCAGCUACGGCAACCACGUGGGCGCCGAUGGCCGUGCCGCCUCCAUCGACGUGGGCGAGCUCUACGACGACGAGGAGAGGCGCUUCUUGGUGCUCGUGCACGUGCCGAGAGCCCGGCCCGUGGAGUCGGUCACCCGCCUGGUCAAGUUGAGCUGCGCCUACAAGGUCGCCGCGACAGGGCAGGCGGCCCACGCGGCCGCACCGGCCGCGGUGAUCCAGAGGCUGUUGGAGCUGGAGCAG
rnacentral:rRNA from 1 species